rnacentral:rRNA from 1 species
GACGAACGCUGGCGGCGUGCCUAACACAUGCAAGUCGAGCGGAGGGAUACGAGGAGCAAUCUGAGGAUUCCUGAGCGGCGGACGGGUGAGUAACGCGUGGGCAACCUGCCUUGCACUGGGGGAUAACGCGGCGAAAGCCGCACUAAUACCGCAUAAGACCACAAGGGCCGCAUGGUCCGGGGGUCAAAGGAGCGAUCCGGUGGAAGAUGGGCCCGCGUCCGAUUAGGUAGUUGGUGGGGUAAAGGCCUACCAAGCCUGAGAUCGGUAGCCGACCUGAGAGGGUGAUCGGCCACACUGGAACUGAGACACGGUCCAGACUCCUACGGGAGGCAGCAGUGGGGAAUAUUGGGCAAUGGGGGAAACCCUGACCCAGCAACGCCGCGUGAGGGAAGAAGGUCCUCGGAUUGUAAACCUCUGUUCCUGGAGAAGAGAAGAAGACGGUAUCCAGGGAGGAAGCCCCGGCUAACUACGUGCCAGCCGCCGCGGUAAUAC